GUAGGUGGCAAGCGUUGUCCGGAAUUAUUGGGCGUAAAGCGCGCGCGGGCGGUCCUUUAAGUCUGAUGUGAAAGCCCACGGCUCAACCGUGGAGGGUCAUUGGAAACUGGGGGACUUGAGUACAGAAGAGGAAAGCGGAAUUCCAGGUGUAGCGGUGAAAUGCGUAGAGAUUUGGAGGAACACCAGUGGCGAAGGCGGCUUUCUGGUCUGUAACUGACGCUGAGGCGCGAAAGCGUGGGGAGCAAACAGGAUUAGAUACCCUGGUAGUCCACGCCGUAAACGAUGAGUGCUAAGUGUUAGGGGGUUUCCCGCCCCCCUUAGUGCUGCAGCUAACGCAUUAAGCACUCCGCCUGGGGAGUACGGCCGCAAGGCUG
rnacentral:rRNA from 1 species